AUUGAACGCUAGCGGUAUGCUUUACACAUGCAAGUCGAACGGAGUGGCGGACGUGUGAGCAAUCUAUCGGAAUGUGCCCAGUAGCUGGGGAUCACUACCGGACAGAGUGGCUAAUACCGCAUAGUAUGGGAGAGGCCGCAAUAGGAUUAGCGAGUUGGUGGGGUAAAGGCUCACAAAGGCCACGAUCCGUAGCUGGUUUGAGAGGACGACCAGCCACACUGGGACUGAGACACGGCCUAGACUCCUACGGGAGGCAGCAGUGGGGAAUUUUGGACAAUGGGGGAAACCUGGAUCCAGCCAUCCCGCGUGUAUGAAGAAGGCCUUCGGGUUGUAAAGUACUUUAGGUAGGGAAGCGUUAUCUGCAGAAUAAGCACCGGCUAACUACGUGCCAGCAGCCGCGGUAAUAC
rnacentral:rRNA from 1 species